rnacentral:rRNA from 1 species
AGCGAACGCUGGCGGCAGGCCUAACACAUGCAAGUCGAACGAAGUCUUCGGACUUAGUGGCGGACGGGUGAGUAGCACGUGGGAACGUGCCUUUAGGUUCGGAAUAACUCAGGGAAACUUGUGCUAAUACCGAAUGUGCCCUUCGGGGGAAAGAUUUAUCGCCUUUAGAGCGGCCCGCGUCUGAUUAGCUUGUUGGUGAGGUAAUGGCUCACCAAGGCUACGAUCAGUAGCUGGUCUGAGAGGAUGGCCAGCCACACUGGGACUGAGACACGGCCCAGACUCCUACGGGAGGCAGCAGUGGGGAAUCUUGCGCAAUGGGCGAAAGCCUGACGCAGCCAUGCCGCGUGGAUGAUGAAGGUCUUAGGAUUGUAAAAUCCUUUCACCGGGGACGAUAAUGACGGUACCCGGAGAAGAAGCCCCGGCUAACUUCGUGCCAGCCGCCGCCGUAAGAC